rnacentral:rRNA from 1 species
AACGAACGCUGGCGGCAUGCCUAACACAUGCAAGUCGAACGAGACCUUCGGGUCUAGUGGCGCACGGGUGCGUAACGCGUGGGAACCUGCCCUUAGGUUCGGAAUACCUCCCCGACAGGGGUGCUAAUACCGGAUAAUUUCUUCUGACCAAAGAUUUAUCGCCUUUGGAUGGGCCCGCGUUGGAUUAGCUUGUUGGUAGGGUAAAAGCCUACCAAGGCGACGAUCCAUAGCUGGUCUGAGAGGAAGAGCAGCCACACUGGGACUGAGACACGGUCGAGAAUACUACGGGAGGGAGGAGAGGGGAAUAUAGGAAAAUGGGGGAAAGCAUGAACCAGCAAGGCUGGGUGAGUGAUGAAGGCCGUAGGGAAGAAAAGCUCGUUUAUCCGGGAUGAUAAUGACAGUACCGGGAGAAUAAGCACCGGCUAACUCCGUG